CCUACGGGGGACAGCAGUGAGGAAUAUUGGUCAAUGGACGAGAGUCUGAACCAGCCAAGUAGCGUGAAGGAUGACUGCCCUAUGGGUUGUAAACUUCUUUUAUAUGGGAAUAAAAUGUUCCACGUGUGGGAUUUUGUAUGUACCUUAUGAAUAAGGAUCGGCUAACUCCGUGCCAGCAGCCGCGGUAAUACGGAGGAUCCGAGCGUUAUCCGGAUUUAUUGGGUUUAAAGGGAGCGUAGGUGGAUUGUUAAGUCAGUUGUGAAAGUUUGCGGCUCAACCGUAAAAUUGCAGUUGAAACUGGCAGUCUUGAGUACAGUAGAGGUGGGCGGAAUGCGUGGUGUAGCGGUGAAAUGCUUAGAUAUCACGAAGAACUCCGAUUGCGAAGGCAGCUCACUGGACUGCAACUGACACUGAGGCUCGAAAGUGUGGGGAGCAAACAGGAUUAGAUACCCUAGUAGUC
rnacentral:rRNA from 1 species